rnacentral:lncRNA from 1 species
UAAAAUAGUGGCCUGACACGGCCGGCCGUGUCAGGAGCACUGUAAAAGAAAUUGUAGAAUGUGGUAAAAUAGUAGCCUGACACGGCCACCCGUGUCAGCUGACACGGCCGUGUCAGGCAGGCGGAUUUUUUGCAAUUUUUUUGAAAUUUUUUAUUUUUCGUGGGGCCCACCCCCUUAAUCCACUUUUAACCACACAUUUUUCCCUAUCACCUCAUCAUUAUCAUAUUUUUACCACAAAC